rnacentral:miRNA from 2 species
AGAAUUGUGUGGGGACAUCAGC